rnacentral:misc_RNA from 1 species
GAUGAAGAACGCAGCGAAAUGCGAUAAGUAAUGUGAAUUGCAGAAUUCAGUGAAUCAUCGAGUCUUUGAACGCACAUUGCGCCCCCUGGUAUUCCGGGGGGCAUGCCUGUCCGAGCGUCAUUGCUGCCCUCAAGCACGGCUUGUGUGUUGGGCCGCCGUCCCCGGUUUCCCCCGGGGACGGGCCCGAAAGGCAGCGGCGGCACCGCGUCCGAUCCUCGAGCGUAUGGGGCUUUGUCACCCGCUCUGUAGGCCCGGCCGGCGCCAGCCGACACCCAACUUUAUUUCUAAGGUUGACCUCGGAUCAGGUAGGGAUACCCGCUGAACUUAAGCAUAUCAAUAAGCGA